rnacentral:rRNA from 1 species
UACAGAGGGGGCAAGCGUUGUUCGGAAUUACUGGGCGUAAAGGGCGCGUAGGCGGCCUUCUAAGUCGAACGUGAAAUCCCUGGGCUCAACCCAGGAACUGCGUCCGAUACUGGGAGGCUUGAAUCCGGGAGAGGGAUGUGGAAUUCCAGGUGUAGCGGUGAAAUGCGUAGAUAUCUGGAGGAACACCGGUGGCGAAGGCGGCAUCCUGGACCAAUAUUGACGCUGAGGAGCGAAAGCCAGGGGAGCAAACGGG